rnacentral:rRNA from 1 species
UACGAAGGGGGCUAGCGUUGCUCGGAAUCACUGGGCGUAAAGGGUGCGUAGGCGGGUCUUUAAGUCAGGGGUGAAAUCCUGGAGCUCAACUCCAGAACUGCCUUUGAUACUGAGGAUCUUGAGUUCGGGAGAGGUGAGUGGAACUGCGAGUGUAGAGGUGAAAUUCGUAGAUAUUCGCAAGAACACCAGUGGCGAAGGCGGGUCACUGGACAGAUACUGACGCUGAGGCACGAAAGCGUGGGGAGCAAACAGG